rnacentral:rRNA from 1 species
CCUACGGGCGGCUGCAGUGGGGAAUAUUGGACAAUGGGGGAAACCCUGAUCCAGCAAUGCCGCGUGUGUGAAGAAGGCCUGCGGGUUGUAAAGCACUUUCGGUUGGGAAGAAAAGUUUGGCGCCAAUACCGCCGAACCUUGACGUUACUGACAGAAGAAGCACCGGCUAACUCUGUGCCAGCAGCCGCGGUAAUACAGAGGGUGCUAGCGUUAAGUGGAACGACUGGGGGUAAAGCGUGCGGUCGGGGGCGAAAUCCCCGGGCUUAACCUGGGAACUGCAUUCGAUACGACAUGGCUAGAGUAUGGUAGAGGGAAGUGGAAUUUCCGGUGUAGCGGUGAAAUGCGUAGAUAUCGGAAGGAACACCAAUGGCGAAGGCAGCUUCCUGGACUAAUACUGACACUGAGGCACGAAAGCGUGGGUAGCAAACAGGAUUAGAUACCCCGGUAGUC